UACGGAGGGUGCGAGCGUUAAUCGGAAUUACUGGGCGUAAAGCGCACGCAGGCGGUUUGUUAAGCAAGAUGUGAAAGCCCCGGGCUCAACCUGGGAACUGCAUUUUGAACUGGCAGACUAGAGUCUUGGAGGAGGGGGGUGAAUUCCAGGUGUAGCGGUGAAAUGCGUAGAGAUCUGGAGGAACAUCAAGGUCGGG
rnacentral:rRNA from 1 species